GGGAGCUUGUGGCCUGCCAAAUGUAGCUUGUGGUUGCUGUCAUUGGUGAGGAUGCAUCAUCCGUUGAAGGUCAUGUGAAUGUCCUUCAUAUCCAGUACAGCAAGGUGCGAGAGGAUAUACUAAAGAAUUACCCUUUCUUGAAGACAACCUCAGGGUUGUUUGAUGAUGUUGACCGAAUGCAUCCAUCACCUGUCAGUUUAAGCCAGCGCUUCAAGGACGGCGUUUACCAGAAUUGUGCCAAAGGUGCUUGAGCUUGUUCAAAGAAAAGCUCCAUUAGCCAAAGUCUACAAAGAAGCAAGAGAAGAGAUGCUUGCAGAGGAUCUACUAGGUAUUGACAUAAACGUAAUCCUUGGUAAUCUUUAGUGUGUUUUAUAGUUCUUCUUUUUAGAAUUCGUAUCAAUAUUAUCUUAUCACAUUUAUGCAUUUUAUUAUUUAAAUUAUGCAUUUAAACUUGAUUAAGUUUACUUUUUUAUUAUCUAUUUUUAGAAAAUGUAGAAUGCAGUUGAAAGAUUUACUUAAAAUGAGGUCUAGUGCUUCUUUUGUUAAUGUCACAAGUUUUAUUUCAUGGUUUAAAAAUGGUAACUGAAGUGCUAUGUGCUGUUUACAAUUGAUCAAAUGUUAAGAUUAU